rnacentral:rRNA from 1 species
AGUGAACGCUGGCGGUAGGCCUAACACAUGCAAGUCGAACGGCAGCACAGUAAGAGCUUGCUCUUACGGGUGGCGAGUGGCGGACGGGUGAGGAAUACAUCGGAAUCUACUUUUUCGUGGGGGAUAACGUAGGGAAACUUACGCUAAUACCGCAUACGACCUACGGGUGAAAGCAGGGGAUCUUCGGACCUUGCGCGAUUGAUUGAGCCGAUGUCGGAUUAGCUAGUUGGCGGGGUAAAGGCCCACCAAGGCGACGAUCCGUAGCUGGUCUGAGAGGAUGAUCGGCCACACUGGAACUGAGACACGGUCCAGACUCCUACGGGAGGCAGCAGUGGGGAAUAUUGGACAAAGGGCGCAAGCCUGAUCCAGCCAUACCGCGUGGGUGAAGAAGGCCUUCGGGUUGUAAAGCCCUUUUGUUGGGAAAGAAAAGCAGCAGGUUAAUACCCCGCUGUUCUGACGGUACCCAAAGAAUAAGCACCGGCUAACUUCGUG